rnacentral:rRNA from 1 species
UACGUAGGUGGCAAGCGUUGUCCGGAAUUAUUGGGCGUAAAGCGCACGUAGGCGGACUAUUAAGUCAGGGGUGAAAUCCCGGGGCUCAACCCCGGAACUGCCUUUGAUACUGGUAGUCUUGAGUUCGAGAGAGGUGAGUGGAAUUCCGAGUGUAGAGGUGAAAUUCGUAGAUAUUCGGAGGAACACCAGUGGCGAAGGCGGCUCACUGGCUCGAUACUGACGCUGAGGUGCGAAAGCGUGGGGAGCAAACAGG